AUACGUAGGGUGCAAGCGUUAAUCGGAAUUACUGGGCGUAAAGCGUGCGCAGGCGGUUUUGUAAGACAGUGGUGAAAUCCCCGGGCUCAACCUGGGAACUGCCAUUGUGACUGCAAGGCUGGAGUGCGGCAGAGGGGGAUGGAAUUCCGCGUGUAGCAGUGAAAGGCGUAGAUAUGCGGAGGAACACCGAUGGCGAAGGCAGUCCCCGGGGCCUGCACUGACUCUCAGGCACGAAAGCGUGGGGAGCAAACAGGAUUAGAUCCCCUGGUAGUCCACGCCGUAAACGAUGUCAACUGGUUGUUGGGUCUUCAUUGACUCAGUAACGAAGCUAACGCGUGAAGUUGACCGCCUGGGGAGUACGGCCGCAAGGUUGAAACUUAAAGGAAUUGACGGGG
rnacentral:rRNA from 1 species